GCAGAUGCCUUACGCACUGCAGUAACGAAACAUUCCUAAAAUCAGAACUUAAUAGAAUCUUCAAGAUUGGCCGCAAGCACGGUUACAGCCACAAGUUCAUGCAUGGACAUUUUGACAAAGUCAAAACCGACUACCAGAAUAAGCAACCCAACCUACAGCACACCAGUCCUUCCUCUCAUGCUAGGCCUAACCCUAUUACACCUCCCAGAUUCCCGCUACCCUAUAGAUUGAGCAAAAGUAAUGCCAUUAAAUCUGUCCUUAUGCCUCAGAAUAGGAAGAAAGCUUUCAACAGGGCACCUACCAUCUUUAAUUUGCUACGUAACAAC
rnacentral:lncRNA from 1 species